UACGUAGGUCCCGAGCGUUGUCCGGAUUUAUUGGGCGUAAAGCGAGCGCAGGUGGUUUAUUAAGUCUGGUGUAAAGGGCAGUGGCUCAACCAUUGUAUGCAUUGGAAACUGGUAGACUUGAGUGCAGGAGAGGAGAGUGGAAUUCCAUGUGUAGCGGUGAAAUGCGUAGAUAUAUGGAGGAACACCGGUGGCGAAAGCGGCUCUCUGGCCUGUAACUGAUACUGAGGCUCGAAAGCGUGGGGAGCAAACAGG
rnacentral:rRNA from 1 species